AGAGUUUGAUCAUGGCUCAGAACGUACGCUGGCGGCACGCCUAACACAUGCAAGUCGAACGAAGUAGCAAUACUUAGUGGCAGACGGGUGAGUAACAUGUAGGUAUCUUCCCUUUGGCCUGGAAUAACACGAGGAAACUUGUGCUAAUACCGGAUAAGUCUUUACGGAGAAAGCUUUAUGCACCAUUGGAUGAGCCUGCACUUGAUUAGUUUGUUGGUGGGGUAAUGGCCUACCAAGACUUUGAUCAAUAGCUGAUUUGAGAGGAUGAUCAGCCACAUUGGGACUGAGACACGGCCCAAACUCCUACGGGAGGCAGCAGUGGGGAAUCUUGCACAAUGGAGGAAACUCUGAUGCAGCGAUGCCGCGUGAGUGAAGAAGGCCUUUGGGUUGUAAAGCUCUUUCGUCGGGGAAGAAAAUGACUGUACCCGAAUAAGAAGGUCCGGCUAACUUCGUGCCAGCAGCCGCGGUAAUACGAAGGGACCUAGCGUAGUUCGGAAUUACUGGGCCUAAAGAGUUCGUAGGUGGUUGAAAAAGUUGGUGGUGAAAUCCCAGAGCUUAACUCUGGAACUGCCAUCAAAACUUUUCAGCUAGAGUUUGAUAGAGGAAAGCAGAAUUUCUAGUGUAGAGGUGAAAUUCGUAGAUAUUAGAAAGAAUACCAAUUGCGAAGGCAGCUUUCUGGAUCAUUACUGACACUGAGGAACGAAAGCAUGGGUAGCGAAGAGGAUUAGAUACCCUCGUAGUCCAUGCCGUAAACGAUGUGUGUUAGACGUUGGAAAUUUAUUUUCAGUGUCGCAGCGAAAGCGAUAAACACACCGCCUGGGGAGUACGACCGCAAGGUUAAAACUCAAAUGAAUUGACGGGGACCCGCACAAGUAGUGGAGCAUGUGGUUUAAUUCGAAGAUACGCGCAGAACCUUACCAACACUUGACAUGUUCGUCGCGACUUUAAGAGAUUAAAGUUUUCGGUUCGGCCGGACGAAACACAGGUGCUGCAUGGCUGUCGUCAGCUCGUGUCGUGAGAUGUUGGGUUAAGUCCCGCAACGAGCGCAACCCUCACUUUUAGUUGCCAUCAUUUAGUUGGGCACUCUGAAAGAACUGCCAGUGAUAAGCUGGAGGAAGGUGGGGAUGACGUCAAGUCCUCAUGGCCCUUACGUGUUGGGCUACACACGUGCUACAAUGGUAUUUACAACAGGAAGCAAGACGGCGACGUUAAGCAAAUCCUUAAAAAAUACCUCAGUUCGGAUUGCACUCUGCAACUCGAGUGCAUGAAGCUGGAAUUACUAGUAAUCGUGGAUCAGCGUGCCACGGUGAAUGCGUUCCCGGGUCUUGUACACACCGCCCGUCACACCAUGGGAGUUGGUUCUACCUUAAGGCAAGGUUUAAUACCCUUGACCACGGUAUAGUCAGCGACUGGGGUGAAGUCGUAACAAGGUAACCGUA
rnacentral:rRNA from 1 species